rnacentral:rRNA from 1 species
UACAGAGGGUGCAAGCGUUAAUCGGAAUUACUGGGCGUAAAGCGCGCGUAGGUGGUUCGUUAAGUUGGAUGUGAAAUCCCCGGGCUUAACCUGGGAACUGCAGUCGAGACUGUCUAGCUAGAGUAUGGGAGAGGGAAGUGGAAUUUCAGGUGUAGCGGUGAAAUGCGUAGAUAUCUGAAGGAACAUCAGUGGCGAAAGCGACUUCCUGGACCAAUACUGACGCUCAUGUGCGAAAGCGUGGGGAGCAAACAGG